rnacentral:rRNA from 1 species
AGCGAACGCUGGCGGCAGGCCUAACACAUGCAAGUCGAACGAACCUUUCGGGGUUAGUGGCGGACGGGUGAGUAACACGUGGGAACGUGCCUUUAGGUUCGGAAUAACUCAGGGAAACUUGUGCUAAUACCGAAUGUGCCCUUCGGGGGAAAGAUUUAUCGCCUUUAGAGCGGCCCGCGUCUGAUUAGCUAGUUGGUUGAGGUAAUGGCUCACCAAGGCGACGAUCAGUAGCUGGUCUGAGAGGAUGAUCAGCCACAUUGGGACUGAGACACGGCCCAAACUACUACGGGAGGCAGCAGUGGGGAAUCUUGCGCAAUGGGCGAAAGCCUGACGCAGCCAUGCCGCGUGAAUGAUGAAGGUCUUAGGAUUGUAAAAUUCUUUCACCGGGGACGAUAAUGACGGUACCCGGAGAAGAAGCCCCGGCUAACUUCGUG